rnacentral:rRNA from 1 species
UACGUAGGGUGCGAGCGUUGUCCGGAAUUAUUGGGCGUAAAGGGCUCGUAGGCGGUUUGUCGCGUCGGGAGUGAAAACCUCGGGCUUAACUCGGGGCUUGCUUUCGAUACGGGCAGACUGGAGGUAUGCAGGGGAGAACGGAAUUCCUGGUGUAGCGGUGAAAUGCGCAGAUAUCAGGAGGAACACCAGUGGCGAAGGCGGCACUCUGGGCCGGUACUGACGCUGAGGAGCGAAAGCGUGGGGAGCGAACAGG